rnacentral:rRNA from 1 species
CAGUAGCCGCGGGAAUACGUAGGUGGCAAGCGUUGUCCGGAAUUAUUGGGCGUAAAGGGCUCGCAGGCGGUUUCUUAAGUCUGAUGUGAAAGCCCCCGGCUCAACCGGGGAGGGUCAUUGGAAACUGGGAAACUUGAGUGCAGAAGAGGAGAGUGGAAUUCCGCGUGUAGCGGUGAAAUGCGUAGAGAUGUGGAGGAACACCAGUGGCGAAGGCGACUCUCUGGUCUGUAACCGACGCUGAGGAGCGAAAGCGUGGGGAGCGAACAGGAUUAGAUACCCGCGUAGUCCCUGUCUCUUAUAC